GCAGAAGUGCACAGACACACGCACAGACACACACACAUAUGUUCUCACAGGGUGAGUGCAAAUUUGUUCAGUCUUUACCUGGGAAAGCUGCAUUGAGUCUUUAGUCCCUGCAAAGCUUCUUUACCAGCAGAAUCACCCAGGUGGACUCCUGAGUCACUGGCCAGCCCAGAGGACAGUGCUGGAUAGGCAAGCAGCACAGAGGAGGUGACAGCUGACACCAUUAUGGGCAGAAAAGCAAGUUCAGAACAGAAAUUUCAGGAAGUGGCAAAAGG